AUCCCCCAGGUUGAGCUCAUGGUGGAGGAAGAGGAGGAGGAAGAGGAGGCGCCGAUGGACGAGGGGAGCAGCGAGGACACCCCAGAACGCAACAGGCCCCACCUGCCCCCCCAAAACCGGCUCCGCGACCUGUUCGACUCCACCAUCCUGGGCAUCGAGGACUCCUGAGCGAGGGGCCCCCCCAAAAUGGAGCCGUUCGGUGCCCGUUUCUUGUUGUUCUGAGCCAAAUCCGGGCGGGUUUUGUGACGGUUUAAUAAAUAACGGUUGGGUUGA